GCCAAGGGCGGGCGUGAAAGAGGGAGGGCAAGUGGGGGGUGCGCACGUGUGUGCGUGGUGCACGCCUGUGUGUGUGUGUAGGGGGGGAGGAUUGUGUGUCCAUGACAGGCGCACGCAGCGGAUCCUUUACCAAACCUCAAGACGCCGGAGUGUAGCACAAGCGCAGAAUAUUUUUUUUUACCUGCUGCAGUCAGUGUCUCUGCUGUUGCCACUGCUGCUGCUGCCGCUACUGCCUCCUCCUCUUCUUCCUCCUCCUCCUCCUUCUCCCUCCCUCCCCCUUCCUUUCUUCCGCCCCCUCCUUCUGCACUCCCAGCAAACUCCAGAGCCGGAAAACAGAUUUCUAUCCGUCUUGCAUUCGGGGAGAAGAACAUGCCAGAGGAAACCUGCUCUAUUUAGGAAGAAGCCGAGGACUCUCCAUCAGGAGAAGUCAAGAAUAAAAGGAACAAGUCACCAUCAAUAUUCUUCCUGCCUUUUGAGACUCUCUACUGCACAACCAACUUUAACUUAUUAGGGAAUGCCUUUCUUUAAGAAAAUUUGAUGUAUGGAAAUCCGAAUUUAAAAGACAUACGGACAAGGAAUAUUUAUUUAUUUUUCAAAAAGACUCUUCCCCCAAAGAAAAUUCUAAUGAAUCCUUUUUGUGAAUGAUGAGCUCCCUUCAACCACUUAAAAUUCUCAGUUUACAAAAAAACAAUUAGCACAACUUUGUAGGAAUGUAGAUCUGCUGUAUAAAACAACGGAGAGACGUCAGCUUCCUCUGUGGAAAGUUGCAGUCUCAGCAGAGCGCAGAUUGGAGGAUGAGGUGUGGGGAAGAUGGGAGUGUCGGGGAGAUGUACCCAGCCCCACAUUGCCUGCCAGCUGGAUGGCACAAGUAUUUCUGUCAGCAGAUUUGAAGCACAACGCAGUGUCCAUCUCACAUGGGGUCACCUCAUUCCUCCCAGCCUCAGAGAGCCAGAAGGAAUGGGAAUAAUGGACUGACUUAAUCUCUGGUCAUGCUUCAGGAGGCCAAACCACAAGACUGAGGCAGCUCAUCCUUCUGGCUUGGUCCCUUGAGAUAGAUACCCUAGAUCUUUUCUCUACUCUAUUCCUUUCAUUCUUCAUCAUGUCAAACAGGAAAAGCUCACACAAAUCGUCCAUAUGUUCAUCCUUGACUACAUUCCUAAAUCUGGUUCUGCCUUCACAAAUGGAAUGAGGCUUUUGCUUCAUGGCUUCCUGAGGCCAAAUCAGAACAAAACAAGAACUUGGACUAGCAGCCUUGUUUUCCUGUCUAAAACUAGCUUCUGGCAAGAGUAACUUCAAACCACCAAUGGACCAUCAGCAAUCGUUACCACUUCAAGUGUUUGGGGAUUUUUUUGCCCUUAAAGUGGCAGUGAUUUUCCUAAGAGUUGGGAGGGAGGGUAGGGAUCUGUCUUGGUUUACACUAAUCUUUUUAGCGUGACAAGUAGACAAGUUUCCAUGAAGCUGGUUUAGAAGUGAAAAACUGUGGCUCUAACCUCAAAGCUUCUGUUUUAUUGCAGGCUUGCCAAGAAGAUCUAGUCUAAGACAAAAACAAAAAAAUCCAAGCCAGAUUUGGGGCAUCAACAUAGCAGAUGAACAAAGCAUUGUUUUUAAAACCUAAGUCCAGGUCAGCCUAGAAUUCAUUGACAUUAAGUAAAAAUACAAGUGUGUGAAUUUAUUUUGCAGUGGAAUAACUUUAUCCUUGGGAAUUUGCGAUGGCAUACUCCCUCCUCCCACUUCUAAAAUGAACUGGGGAGAAGGAGACAUAAAUCUUAAUAUUAUUUACUGGUGCUCAUUAGAGGACCUUAAUGCACAGUAGGUGAAUUCAGCCUACCUUAAGCACAGUAGGUCAAUUCAGUGAGGCUUACAUAUUCUGCAGUGGUUAAGCAAGCACAGCUUCAUGGAGAGCUUUUCUAACCAUACAUCUUUGUAAAAAUGACAUUGUUUUAGUCCUUUAAUUUGCUUUUCUAUAUGUACCUACUAUAAGAUACUGCUGCUCACAUACACAAAAAUCAGCCUUUGAUUUAUUUUUGUGAAGACCUUUUUAUAUCAACUCCAUUUAAAAAAAAGUAAUUAUUAUGCUUUGAACCAAACCUGAAAGUGGGGUGAGAUUAAAAAAAAAUUUAAUGCUAAGUGAUAAUAUUUGCCUCAGAUUGAAAAGUUAAAGAUAUGACUGGAAAACAACUGGGCUUCUUGUAAUAGACAAGAUAACUAAUUAAUGCACUUUAUUUUAAUUUUUAAAAGGCACAAGAAAUCCUCUGCUAAUAACACUGUCUAACUUGCACUACACUGUUGGGAUCUGUUGUUGAAUUGAUCAUGUACAGAUUUGUAAAUCAGUCUUGUAACUGCUUAGUCAUAAACUAUUGAAAUAGUUGCCUGUUGUGGCUUGUGAAGAUUUUAUAUGUGCUAUGUGUAACAACAAAUAAAUCUGGCUUGGUAAAACA
rnacentral:lncRNA from 1 species